rnacentral:lncRNA from 1 species
GGGCUCCUAAAGGAACGCAUUUCCACCAGUUUGUGGUGCCACCAAUCCUCAACUUCAGGAGGAACUGCACUUACGGGGAUCUAGCUGCAAUGAGGCUCCCUGAAGAUGUUCAAGGGCUAGGAACCUGCGAGGUUUAAAGAAUGUUUGGUUUACAAUAGUCUUGAUUGUCUCUUUAGCCCUUUGGUACACCUGACUAAAACUUUAUGUGUGUAUGUUGUGGCAGUACACAAUGGACAGAGGGGUGGUGCAUGCAUGCCAUGCAGGAGGAGUGGUUCAUAUGCUGGAAGGUUGGGAGCAUCAUGAGGUCGGAGCCAUUGACGUUGACCGUAUUGAUUUGGUGUGGGAAGCAGCCAUGAGACACGGCCUUCGCUCUGUUUCUUCACUCACAAGAUGAGUGAGAUGUGCUCUUAAAUUGUUAUCUUUGACUCUCCCAAGAUUGGUCAUUCUUUGUAAAGGUGAAGCAUGCAAGCAGGUUGAAAAAAAUAAGUAGAAUUUUCACCGUAUGUUAUUGUUUCACCUUUUAUUUAAGAUGUAUUUCACUUUAUAACAAUUUCCCUAAAUAGUAUCGACAAAGCUUUUAAUUAUCCAGCCUGAUCACUCCUCUGGUGGUACUUGGUAGUUAGGACAAUGAAAGAACAAAGUGUCUUCAAUGUUCCUGUCCUGUACUCACAUUUGAUUUUAUUAGAGACAAUGUUACUUUGAAGCCCCCUGCUUUAAAGAUGAAAUAAUGGACCAAAGAGCUUGCUUUUGGCUUCUAAAUCAAACCAAUUGUUGAUACUUUAUUACAAACAUCUGCUUGAGUACUAAAAAGAAUGCAGAAGAAAGAGAUUAUUUUACCACACAGAAAAAAAAAGAAACUCUCCUAAUUAGAAAGACCAUCAUGAUGGUGAUUAACCCUUGAAACGUUCCCAAAAGGUGGCCAAGAAGAUCAAUAGGUGAGAGAUGAGAAGAAGAAUGGAGAUGACUAUCAAGAAGACACCUAGCUGCCACCAUUUCCUCCUUACAGAUCUUACGAAUCCUAACUUGCAAGACCUACAAUCAUAACACAACACGCUCCAAUCAUUCCUCCACAGCUGACAGUCACUUAGUCUUCCGACCAUGCCCCCGUACAGCACCUCCGUCUUCAAUGGUUGUCCCUCGUCUUUUCUUCUAUACCAAAACGUCGUGUUUAAAGCGUCCAUGUUGCAUGUCUCUGGAGGCAUGCAGCAUCCAUUCUACAAGAACAACAAAUAUCAAAACAACUUGUGUAAUUAACCUACUAGUUUAAAGAUCCUAUGGUACAUGAUCCUCUCAAACUAUUUGAAAAUCUUGUAAACAUGAUAAUAUGAUAUAUACAUUAUUCAUUUGAUAAUUGUGGAUUCUAAUAUUUUGGAGAUACAAUUUAAUAAGAAUUUUUAACGAUAUAUUUAUGUAUAUUAACUAUAAAACUUUUAUGGAUUAUACGUAAAUGUUUCAAUUACCUAUGUCAUCAUGCAUGUUAGAAUGCACCGGAUGCACAUGGUAAAAGAUGGUUAUGAUCUCAAACUGUAAGAAUAUCUACAAUGAACAAACCUUUAUUGGUGGCAAUUUUCUUCUAUUAUAAGGUUUAUCUUUUGGAGAUCCAUAAACAAGCUCGUUGCAUGCACCUUUAUCGUAGACACACGAUUUGAUAUUGUUCCAGUUUACAUUAUCCAUCACUUUGAGUUUAAACCACGUCCCAGUCGCCGGAAACCGCCUGGUCUGCAUCUCGUUGACUCCGGCGUACGCCAGACCGAUGAAUAGCAUUAGCAAAAGGAUCACAAACAUCACAACGAGUGCUGGCAUCGGAAACUUCCGUCGGAGAAACAGAGCUACAUUGCUGACGACGAAGACGGCGAGGAGACCGACGCUCGCGAUUGUCUGGAUACGUGGCAGACCGAGGAUAUCUUCGCAGUCGUAGCUACGCAUGUAGAGGAGCCACACAGCGUAGCCGAGGAGUGUAAGAGAUAGAAAGAAGGUGCAGAUGGGAAGUACCCCGAUGGCGAAAAGGUUCAUGAUUGUGACCAAUGUUCCAGCGGGUGGCUUAUCGCUUUGUGACUCCAUCUGGUCGGAGCUUUUUGCUUCUGGCUCACUCGUUGUUGUUAUUGCGGUUGCCGUGGCGGUGGUGGUUGCAGCUGGUUCCUCAACGGGUACUACUUGGGCACUAUCAGCCAUGGAGAAAGUGAAAGAAAUGUCUCUAUGGAGGUGUUUUGUUUGACAUUAGGAAUGUAUAAAAGAGAAAGAUCAUAAGUAUAGGUGUAUCAGGGGUGGGUUUUACAGAGUCAAAUGUAAGUUGGAGAGAAAUCCGGACACUUUGAUUAAGUACAAGCUGAUCCUGACCGAAUAUUUUGCUAUAUUCAAGCCCUUUUUGGUCUUUUUAGUCGGUAUGGAUUUAUCCCCUGUUCUAAAAAUCGGUCCGAUUCAUGCCAAAUCGGUGAAAAAAAAAAUCAUGCCAUAUCCGAUUUUUUUCCGCCUAGACCGCCUAAAUGACCGCCUAGCCGCCUAAAUGACCGCCUAGCCGCCUAGGCGGCCGCCUAAUCAAUUUUUUUUGGCCAUCCUAGUUUAAAUGCUUAUAUAAAUAACCAGAGCUCGAUGCUCUCAAUAAUGUCACAUAACACACAACUUUCAACCCAAAAAAAAAAAUCUCCAUACCUUUUCUUGAGAUUAGAGAGAACCCUAUCGUUAGAUCUCUCCAUCUCUCUCUCUUUGUUUUGACUUCCACAAACAGAGCAACAUCUUUCUCUUAGUAUUGCUUGAAACUGGAGCAAUCUUUAAGGUUAUAUAGACCAAUAAGAGUGAGAGAAGAUCUAGUCAUAAACAAAUCAAGAAAUUUCUAACUUCGAGGAGGUAACGAAAAGGGUUUAAGAGAAUAAGAAUGGUAGCUUUUUCAGCUUGGCCUUGGGGAAACUUUGGCAAUCUAAAGGUUUGAUCUGACUUCUCAAAAGGUCUGGUUUCUCGUGUGAAUCUCAUAUGUGUUUUUCUUGUCUGUGUAGUAUCUUCUCUACGCUCCGUUAGCUGCACAAGUAGUGUACUCAUGGGCGUACGAACAAGACUACUCGAGGGCUCUUUGGUGUCUUCAUAUCCUCAUCAUCUGUGGACUCAAAGGAUUCCUUCAUGUUCUUUGGAGCGUUUACAACAACAUGCUUUGGGCGUCUCGCACUCUAAGGAUUAACCCUAAUGGCGUCGACUUUAAGCAGAUUGAUCACGAAUGGCACUGGUAAAUCCCUCUCAAGUAACAUUUUGGGUACAUAUUAUAAUAAUAAUAAUAACUUGUCCUAAAAUCAAUAUUUUUAAGAUGUUACUCUGUUCUUGCUAUGGUCUUAAAUACCCAUAAAACCACCAAAGGUAUCGUUUUGAUCUGUGGGUUUUAUUUCAGGGACAACUACAUACUUCUGCAAGCAAUAAUAGCUAGCAUUAUCUGUUACAUGUCUCUUCCAUUGAUGACGAUUAACAGUAUACCUCUGUGGAACACGAAAGGACUCGUUGCAUUAAUUGUGCUACAUGUGACCUUCUCAGAGCCAUUAUACUACUUUCUUCACAGAACUUUUCAUAGUAACACCUACCUCUUCACGCAUUACCACUCCUUCCAUCACUCAUCUCCUGUGCCACAUCCCAUGACUUGUACAUUUUCAUCACUAAUAACCUUAUUCAAAAAUUCAUUCUUGUUUGUUGUAAUAUAACAAUAUUUUAUCUAUUGGGUGCAGCUGGAAAUGCGACGUUACUGGAAAGCCUUAUCCUCUGCGUCGUAGCUGGAGUUCCUUUGGUUGGAUCUUGCUUGCUAGGUGUUGGAUCAUUAGGGUUGAUCUACGGAUAUGCUAUUAUGUUUGAUUUCCUAAGAUGUUUAGGACAUUGUAACGUUGAAAUCUUCUCUCACAAGCUAUUCGAGACACUUCCAAUCCUUCGAUAUCUCAUCUACACUCCAACGUAUGCCGUUGACACUUUUAUUACCCUUUCGGCAAAGUAUUCACAUGUCAUUUUUCUUUUUGGAUUUGGUUAGGACACAUAAACAUGACUUAAUUUUGUCUUCUUUUUUUUUUUUACUUUAAGAAGCAAAAUUGCCAAGAUUGUAUUAGCUAUGAAAUAUGCCUAUCGAAAGUAAUUGGUGGUGUUACAUUUUUAGUUGCAUCACAAUGAUUUUACAGUGUAAUGAUUUAAAAAAUAUCUUUAAAAAGUUGAUUUUCUUGGUGGGGUUUAUGCAGGUACCAUAGUCUGCAUCAUCAUGAGAUGGGGACCAACUUUUGUCUAUUCAUGCCUAUCUUUGAUGUCUUGGGCAACACACUUAACUCAAACUCGUGGGGACUCCAAAAGAAGAUUCGCUUGUCUGCAGGUAAAUAUAGCAAACCUACUCCACGCAGUUUUUGUUUUUGUUUUUGUUUUUGUUUUGCAUAUCUAGCCCAAAGCCUGAACACACGAAUCUGUUACUAGACUAGUUGAAUGAAUGAAUACCAAACAGUUUAAUGGCAAUUUAUGAGGGACAUUAGUAGAAAUAGAGUUUGUACUUUGUGCAACCAAAGUGGGUGAGAAUUUUCUAUUUCUGGUCAAAGUCAAACCUCUUGAGCCAAAAGACAUUGUUACCCCUUCUUUAACCUGAAAACUACAGUUUUGUUUUAACUAACUUUGAUGUCCGUGUGUAGGGGAACGGAAGAGAGUGCCGGAGUUUGUGUUCUUGGCUCACGGGGUAGAUGUGAUGUCGGCGAUGCAUGCUCCGUUUGUGUUCAGAUCGUUUGCUUCAAUGCCAUACACAACGAGGCUCUUCUUGCUGCCCAUGUGGCCAUUCACGUUCAUGGUGAUGUUGGGCAUGUGGGUCUGGUCAAAGACUUUUCUUUUCAGCUUCUAUACCCUCAGGAACAAUCUUUGCCAGACUUGGGGAGUUCCAAGAUUCGGGUUCCAAGUAAAUGCCUCUGCUUUUUUUUCAGUUUUACCCUCUAAAAACAGACAGAACAGAGUGUUUUUACAGAGCAUUUUCCUCUGUUUUUGCAGUACUUUUUACCGAUUGCUAAACAAGGAAUUAACAACCAGAUCGAGAAUGCGAUUCUUAGGGCUGAUAAGAUUGGUGUUAAAGUUAUAAGCUUGGCUGCUUUGAACAAGGUUUGUGUCGGAACCGAAGUCUCAAAAAAAAAGUCUGAAACUUUUGAGUCAAGUCACUAAAAGGGUUGGUUUUGUUUGAGUGUUUGCUCAGAACGAAGCUCUAAAUGGUGGUGGGACGUUGUUUGUCAACAAGCAUCCUGACCUUAGAGUUCGUGUGGUCCACGGGAACACAUUAACCGCAGCAGUGAUUCUUAAUGAGAUUCCAAAAGAUGUGAAAGAGGUGUUCUUGACAGGAGCCACUUCUAAGCUGGGAAGAGCCAUCGCUCUCUACCUCUGUCGUCAGGGAGUGAGAGUUCUCGUAAGUUUUUUUUACUAAUGUCUCGAAUGUACGGUUUAAUAUAGUAUCCCAAAGUCUGACAUAUGUUGGAACCAAUUGACAGAUGUUGACACUAUCGGUGGAAAGAUUCCAAAAGAUUCAGAAAGAAGCUCCUGUUGAGUUCCAGAACUACCUUGUACAAGUGACCAAAUACAACGCUGCUCAAAACUGCAAGGUAGUGUAUUUGAGUUCUAACUGGUUUUCAUUUGUUGUGUAAAUGUAAAUGUAUUGACUUUGGGGUGUUUGAAUUAUGUAUAAUGCAGACUUGGAUCGUUGGGAAAUGGUUAACGCCAAGGGAGCAGAGCUGGGCUCCUAAAGGAACGCAUUUCCACCAGUUUGUGGUGCCACCAAUCCUCAACUUCAGGAGGAACUGCACUUACGGGGAUCUAGCUGCAAUGAGGCUCCCUGAAGAUGUUCAAGGGCUAGGAACCUGCGAGGUUUAAAGAAUGUUUGGUUUACAAUAGUCUUGAUUGUCUCUUUAGCCCUUUGGUACACCUGACUAAAACUUUAUGUGUGUAUGUUGUGGCAGUACACAAUGGACAGAGGGGUGGUGCAUGCAUGCCAUGCAGGAGGAGUGGUUCAUAUGCUGGAAGGUUGGGAGCAUCAUGAGGUCGGAG